UUGGUGGCAUGACAUUACAUCAAGCAAGGUUUCAUGUUUUUCUGAUAAUUUUUUAAAUUUUUGGAAUUAAAAUGUCAUGGCACUCCAUGCAUGUGUCCAUGUCAUGAGACCAAUAUGUUUGAAAAUUCCUUCUAAUUUACUGCACAUGGAAUUAACUCGCACACAAGUACACAAAUAUGAUUUUUCAAACCGUUAUGGUUAGGCGUUGCAUGUAGAUGUAGUUCAAAUUUGAAUUACGAUCAUUAAAUGGCUAGAAAAUCACUUAAAUGUCGUUAAAAGGUCUAAUGACCCCUGAAAUUUUCCAAAUUUUCACAUGACAGUUGUAUUAGUGCAUGUUAAACGUAGAAAAAAAUGUGAAGGCCGUAAGAGGAAGCUAUCUCCCGUUCGUCAUCAAACAUGCAUUGUUCCCUCUCGGAACCACGAGCGUUCUAGUGAGUUGCUCUGGUUUGUGAGGGGUGUGUGUCCAAACUUUCGUCAAACAGGCCAAUUUUUUUACCACAUCAUCUUGGUGACAUGACAUUACAUCAAGCAAGGUUUCAUGUUUUUCUGAUCAUUUUUUAACCUUUUGGAAUUAAAAUGCCAUGGCACUCCAUGCAUGUGUCCAUGCCUUAUGUUUAAAAAUUCCUUCUAAUUUACUGCACAUGGAAUUAACUCGCACACAAGUACACAAAUAUGAUUUUUCAAACCGUUAUGGUUAGGCGUUGCAUGUAGAUGUAGUUCAAUUGAAUUACCGUCAUUAAAUGGCUAGAAAAUCACUUAAUUGUCUUUAAAAGGUCAAAUGACCCCUGAGAUUUUCCAAAUUUUCACAUGACAGUUGUAGUAGUGUGAUACGUCUCCAACGUAUCUAUAAUUUUUGAUUGUUCCAUGCUAUUAUAUUAUCUGUUUUGGAUGUUUAAUGGGCUUUAUUAUACACUUUUAUAUUAUUUUUGGGACUAACCUAUUAACCGAAGACCCAAUGCAAAUUGCUGUUUUUUUUGCCUAUUUCAGUGUUUCGCAGAAAAGGAAUAUCAAACGGAAUCCAAACGGUAUCAAACCUUCGGGAGAGUGAUUUUUGGAACAAACAUGAUCCAGGAGACUUGGAGUGGACGUCAAGAAAGAAGCGAGGAGGUCACGAGGCAGGGAGGCGCGCCUGGCCCCCCUGGGCGCGCCCCCACCCUCGUGAGCCCCUCGCAGCUCCACCGACCUACUUCUUCCUCCUAUAUAUACCCAUAUACCCCGAAAACAUCCAGGAGCACCACGAAACCCUAUUUCCACCGCCGCAACCUUAUGUACCCGUGAGAUCCCAUCUUGGGGCCUUUUCCGGCGCUCCGCCGGAGGGGGAAUCGAUCACGGAGGGCUUCUACAUCAACACCAUAGCCUCUCCGAUGAUGUGUGAGUAGUUUACCACAGACCUUCGGGUCCAUAGUUAUUAGCUAGAUGGCUUCUUCUCUCUCUUUGGAUCUCAAUACAAAGUUCUCCUCGAUCUUCUUGGAGAACUAUUCGAUGUAAUUCUUUUUGCGGUGUGUUUGUCGAGAUCCGAUGAAUUGUGGGUUUUGAUCAAGAUUAUCUAUGAACAAUAUUUGAAUCUCCUCUGAAUUCUUUUAUGUAUGAUUUGUUAUCUUUGCAAGUCUCUUUGAAUUAUCGGUUUGGUUUGGCCUACUAGAUUGAUCUUUCUUGCAACGGGAGAAGUGCUUAGCUUUGGGUUCAAUCUUGCGGCGUCCUUUCCCAGUGACAGCAGGGGCAGCAAGGCACGCAUUGGAUUGUUGCCAUCGAGGAUAAAAAGAUGGGGUUUAUAUCAUAUUGCUUGAGUUUAUCCCUCUACAUCAUGUCAUCUUGCCUAAUGCGUUACUCUGUUCUUAUGAACUUAAUACUCUAGAUGCAUGCUGGAUAGUGGUCGAUGUGUGGAGUAAUAGUAGUAGAUGCAGAAUCGUUUCGGUCUACUUGUCGCGGACGUGAUGCCUAUAUACAUGAUCAUGCCUAGAUAUUCUCAUAACUAUGCACUUUUCUAUCAAUUGCUCGGUAAUAAUUUGUUCACCCACCGUAAUACUUAUGCUAUCUUGAGAGAAGCCACUAGUGAAACCUAUGGCCCCCGGGUCUAUUUUCCAUCAUAUAAGUUUACAAUCUAUUUUGCUUUGCAAUCUUUACUUUCAAUAUAUGUCAUAAAAAUACCAAAACUAUUUAUCUUAUUAUCUCUAUCAGACCUCACUUUUGCAAGUGGUCGUCAAGGGAUUGACAACCCCUUUAGCGUGUUGGUUGCAAGGUUCUUAUUUGUUUGUGUAGGUACGAGGCGACUUGCGUGUAGUCUCCUACUGGAUUGAUACCUUGGUUCUAAAAAACUGAGGGAAAUACUUACGCUACUUUGCUGCAUCACCCUUUCCUCUUCAAGGGAAAAACCAACGCAUGCUCAAGAGGUAGCAUAGUGCAUGUUAAACGUAAAAAAAUUGAAGGUCGUAAGAUGAAGCUAUCUCCCGUUCGUCAUCAACACAUGCAUUGUUCCCUCUCGGAACCACGAGCAUUCUAGUGAGUUGCUCAGGUUUGUGAGGGGGGUGUAUCCAAACUUUCGUGAAACAGGCUGAUUUUUUUACCACAUCAUCUUGGUGGCAUGACAUUACAUUAAGCAAUGUUUCAUGUUUUUCUGGUCAUUUUUAAUUUUUUUGGAAUUAAAAUGCCAUGGCACUGCAUGCAUGUGUCCAUGCCGUGAGACCAAUAUGUUUGAAAAUUCCUUCUAAUUUACUGCACAUGAAAUUAACUCGCACACAAGUACACAAAUAUGAUUUUUCAAACCGUUAUGGUUAGGCGUUGCAUGUACAUGUAGUUCAAAUUUGAAUUACGGUCAUUAAAUGACUAGAAAAUCACUUAAAUGUCUUCAAAAGGGCAAAUGACCCCUGAAAUUUUCCAAUUUUUCACAUGACAGUUGUAUUAGUGCACGUUACACGUAGAAAAAAUUUGAAGGCUGUAAGAGGAAGCUAUCUCCGUUCGUCAUCAAGCAUGCAUUGUUCCCUCUCGGAACCACGAGCGUUCUAGUGAGUUGCUCCGGUUUGUGAGGGGUGCGUGUCCAAACUUUCGUCACACAUGCCAAAUUUUUUACCACAUCAUCUUGGUGGCAUGACAUUACGUCAACCGAGGUUUCAUGUGUUUUUGAUUUUUUUUUAAUUUUUUGGAAUUUAAAUGCCAUGGCACUCCAUGCUUAAUUGUGUCAUAGCCGUUAGACCAAUAUGUUUGAAAAUUCCUUCUAAUUUACCGCACAUGGAAUUAAAUCGCACACAACUACACAAAAUAUGACUUUUCAAACCGUUAUGGUUAGCUGUUGCAUCUACAUGUAGUUGAAAUUUCAAUUACGUUCAUUAAAUGGCUCAAAAAUCACUUAAAUAUCUUAAAAGGUCAAAUGACCCCUGAAAUUUUCCGAAAUUUGACAUGAGAGUUGUAUUAGCACUACAAAUUUUCUCGUACAUUUAGAACACCAUUUGUUGCCACUUUACUCCAAAUUCGUCUUUCACAGCUAAUAAAAAAUAUCUGCAACAUCACACAUAGUUGUUUUCUAAGAACCGUUUGUGAUGAAAAUAUCUGGGUCUAUUUAAGUCUUCCUCCUUAAACUUCGCCGGCUCGUCUGCUCCAGUGCCGGCAACCUCCGAAUCCCCGAAUCCUGAUCCCCAUUCUCGCACCCCCUUCUUGCAAAUAUGACGCCGUGGAAACGCAUCGUGAAGGCUCGUAUGAUGGCCGCGGCCCCCCGAGCGCCGCCGCCUACGCCGAGAAUGUCGCUGCAUCUGCAUUGAGCGCAGCCACUUCCGUCGAGAGGGCGUCUACGGCAGCCGACAGGGCAGCUGCAGCAGCCGAGAUGGCUGCUACUGCGACUUCAAACACCG
rnacentral:lncRNA from 1 species